rnacentral:rRNA from 1 species
AGUGAACGCUGGCGGUAGGCCUAACACAUGCAAGUCGAACGGCAGCACAGAGGAGCUUGCUCCUUGGGUGGCGAGUGGCGGACGGGUGAGGAAUACAUCGGAAUCUACUCUGUCGUGGGGGAUAACGUAGGGAAACUUACGCUAAUACCGCAUACGACCUACGGGUGAAAGCAGGGGAUCUUCGGACCUUGCGCGAUUGAAUGAGCCGAUGUCGGAUUAGCUAGUUGGCGGGGUAAAGGCCCACCAAGGCGACGAUCCGUAGCUGGUCUGAGAGGAUGAUCAGCCACCCUGGAACUGAGACACGGUCCAGACUCCUACGGGAGGCAGCAGUGGGGAAUAUUGGACAAUGGGCGCAAGCCUGAUCCAGCCAUACCGCGUGGGUGAAGAAGGCCUUCGGGUUGUAAAACCCUUUUGUUGGGAAAGAAAUCCAGCUGGCUAAUACCCGGUUGGGAUGACGGUACCCAAAGAAUAAGCACCGGCUAACUUCGUGCCAGCAGCCGCCGUAA